rnacentral:miRNA from 1 species
UGCAUAUUUUGUUAAGAAGAUAUUAAUAAAAGUUGUUCGCCUUGAUGAGGGCUACAACUUUGCUUAAUAUCUUUUCAACAAAUUAUGCGUAUUUAAGGAGAUACGUCUGCGCAUGCGCAGUAGCGUAACUCUUUACGCUUCCAUAUUUAUUUAAGAGGAUAUUAAUAAAAGUUGUUCGUCUUGAUGAUGGCUACAGCUUUGCUUAAUGUCUUUUUAACAAAUUAUGCG